UUGUAGAUGUUAAAAGCAAGAGACAUGGGAGAUCAUCAUUCCCUUGAGAUUUUAUAACUCAAACCAACUUUGGAGUUGUCUGAUUUGGAGAGUCAUUAUUCUUGGUCUGCGCUCUUAGAGGCCACUGAUGAAGAGCAGGCGGUGACUGGGAUGAAUGCUGGUCAGAGAGGAGAAUUUUCUUUCCCCUAAACAGCACUGGUUUUAAAGGAGAACGCUGCCCUGGAUGAUGUAGAUGUCACAUGCUGUGCUGAUGGGGUUUCUUCAUGAUUACAUCAGUUAUGCUAAAGAGAUCAUGAAAAUUGACCAUGAUGCAUGAUCUGUAUUCAUGGACAAUGAAACAAACUGUAAGUGUAUAAUUUGUUAAAAAAAAAAAAGUUAAAUGCUUUUUCUGUGUUGUUUAGUAGAAAAGUUUACACUGUCAUUCAUACACCUGCUAACAUUCUUUCACACACACACACACACACACACACACACACACACAUGCAUCUGUUAAAGGUUAUAAUAUCAAAGUUAAUGUUGUGAUUUAUUUGUGUACUGUCAUGCCAGAAUAGUUGGAAAAAAACCUAACUAAUUGUAAAUUUAUUGUAUGUGUUUUCAUAUAUUUUUAUACAAUAUAUACAAUUGAACAAAGUCCAAUUUGAUCUUAAGUUAUAUUCAUCAAAUGUUCAAUGCUUUGUUUAUGAACUCUGUAGCUGUUAAUGCCAUCCUUUUCUGCAUUUCUUCUAACAUGUUACUUUUUGACUCUUCUCUUGUUUUUAAUAAAUAUUUUCCUUUUGGUAAUUA